rnacentral:rRNA from 1 species
UGGGGAAUAUUGCACAAUGGAGGGAACUCUGAUGCAGCGACGCCGCGUGAGUGAUGAAGGAAUUCGUUUCGUAAAACUCUGUUCUAUGGGAAGAAAAGGACUGUACCAUAGGAGAAAGCUCCGGCUAAAUACGUGCCAGCAGCCGCGGUAAUACGUAUGGAGCGAGCGUUGUCCGGAAUUAUUGGGCGUAAGGGUGCGCAGGCGGCUUUACAAGUUGGAUGUGAAAUAUUGUGGCUCAACCACAAACGUGCAUCCAAAACUGCAAAGCUUGAGUUAAGGAGAGGUAAGUGGAAUUCCUGGUGUAGCGGUGGAAUGCGUAGAUAUCAGGAGGAAUACCGGUGGCGAAGGCGACUUACUGGACUUAAACUGACGCUCAGGCACGAAAGCGUGGGGAGCAAACAGG